rnacentral:tRNA from 1 species
GAGGGUAUACCUCAAUGGCAGAGUAUGUAUUUAGCAUCCAUGAGGUCCUGGGUUCAAUCCCCAGUGCCUCCA